rnacentral:rRNA from 1 species
UACGUAGGGGGCUAGUGUUGUCCGGAUUUAUUGGGCGUAAAGAGCGUGUAGGCGGCCAGAUAGGUCUGCUGUGAAAACUCGAGGCUCAACCUCGAGAUGUCGGCGGAAACCAUUUGGCUAGAGUCCGGAAGAGGAAAGUGGAAUUCCUGGUGUAGCGGUGAAAUGCGCAGAUAUCAGGAAGAACACCCGUGGCGAAGGCGGCUCACUGGUCCAUUACUGACGCUGAGGUGCGAAAGCGUGGGGAGCAAACAGG